UACAGAGGGUGCGAGCGUUAAUCGGAAUUACUGGGCGUAAAGCGUGCGUAGGCGGCCGUUUGCGUCGGAUGUGAAAGCCCGGGGCUCAACCCCGGAACGGCAUCCGAUACGGGACGGCUGGAGACCGGGAGAGGAGGGUGGAAUAGCCAGUGUAGAGGUGAAAUUCGUAGAUAUUGGCUGGAACACCGGUGGCGAAAGCGGCUCUCUGGCCCCGGUUCUGACGCUGAGGCGCGAAAGCGUGGGGAGCAAACAGG
rnacentral:rRNA from 1 species